AAGACUAGAUCGAGGAAGAGAAAGGGUGAACGGUCAAGUACCAGGUGCUGCAGCAGUCCCCCUUGGUUAAAGGCCCUUCAGCUUUCAGUCACACACAGACCUCCCAGUCUGCUUCUCCCUGUGGAAUAAGCCACACGAAAUCAAGCAGCCCUGGCCCCAAGUCCCAGAAGGCAGGUGAACGGGGGCUAUGAAGUAACUGCUGCCCCAAUGCCAUAGAGAAGCUUUUGCAGUGGUUACAGAAUGAGCCAAGAGACCUGGUGAAAUCAUGGACACCAGCUGAUCAGUCCUUAAGGGCGCUGAUUCACUCACCACCUAGUGUUCAGCCAGAGUUCUAGUAAGACACAGAAGGAAGCAGGGCCAGACCCAAGAAACCCAAGCCCAGUGAGUCCCCAUAUGAUUGCUGUGUUCCCAGCACUGCUGAUCAUCACAAUGAUGGGAUGUCAGCCUCCUGACAGACUGACUCUGGCAGGAAGAGGCAUCUGACCAAAAGGAGAGAGUUUGUUUAUAUGUAACAGAAAAGGAAAGACACAGGGCGGAUUGAUGUGGUGCUGGAAAUUUAAGUUUCCACAGCAUAGCAGGGCCUCUAACAUUUAGCCAUCAGUGGGGGCAAAUACAGAUUGGUCUCAGAUUUACCAGUGCUUUAGCAACUUCAGGCUUUUGACUGUACAAAGAAACCCCUGAAGGGAAACCACUGAAUGACAUGUAUUCGGGUACAUUUAACAGCCAAGUGCAUGCAAAUAUGCCACAAUAACCUUCCCAUCCCUCAGAUUCCCCCAGCAACACAAUCACCAGGAGGCCUUUCCUCCAAUCACAAUUAGCACAAUGGUUCAGAUGGGAUUAUGAACAUGCAAGAUUAGUAAUUCAGGGUGCAAACAUCAUGUUUGAUGCAGGGUUUCAGGCUGCCACUUUGGAGCAGCAUCAGGUGUGACAACUCCUAGUAGACUGGUGCUUUGCCAGAAGAGGGAGUCUUUACAAACUAAUUUUUGCACUGGCUCACACAUAUUUCUCCCUGUGCUCAGCACCAGCAGCUCAGGUUGAGAGGAGAAUUCCAGGUGGCGAUCGUGAAAGAGUCAAUGUUAAUUGGACCCAGCCAGCCAGGAAGAAGCAUCUGCUAGCAAUAAUGUGAAUGCUGUUAGUGUUAAAGAGAUGGUCUCAUUUGGUACUGCAUUGCCGAAGAAGAGACUGAGGGUGCCUUUACAGCAGCCUGUGACAGCACCAUCUCUUCUGUGCAAAAGCCUCUGAUUUCAAAGAAACCCAGGGCCCCAAGCCUCUGGAUCCCAUUAUUCUCUACCCAAGAACAGAAAUCUGUAGCUAUAUUAUAGAAGUAAUCACUGAGACCAGCCCUUUAUAAUUCACCUCUUGGCACGGGGCACAUGGGACCAUCACAGGACUGUAUUUGGCUGUCCCAGCUCCCAGUGCCAAGACUUAAACAGGAGGCGCAGGCUUCCAAAGCAGGGUUCAAAAUGUACGCACACUUCCCCUGUACUCGGAGCAAAGGCUUGUAAGGGGUGGCGCUGAGAGAGGACGGUCAUACUAGUGGGUACAACCCAGGAUCCAAAACAGAAACGUCUUUCCCUUUGAAGUGCUUCACAAAUAGCAAACAGGGCAAAAGCCAAGAUUAAUCUUGGUCACCUACUUGAUCCUGUAACAAGAUCAAAAAGUAGCGCUUGCAAGGUGAGAGGGAGAAGAGCCCUUCCUCACACACGCAGAUCAGAAUCAUUGGCAAAGGGCAUGGUUCUGGGAUGUGCCUUCCAAGUUUGCCACAGGGUGAAAGUCCCUGUUGAAGUCACAUUCACACAGCAUGGCUAGUUCACACAAGGCAAAAUUGAGCUAAGGUGGAACCUCUCCCAUCAUUCAGAGACCAGAGCAGAUUCAGAGCAGAAUUGCAGGCUCUGCAUAGGCACCAUCUCCCACCUGCUGCACCUUCCAGUUAGAGGCUCAGCAGUACCACUGAGGAAGCUCAAUCAGGUUUUUAAAUUGGGUUUGGAUUAAAGACACUGAUGAGCCCAGGUGGCCUUGAUUAGGACAAUUCAGAACCCUGCUUUAGAAAUCCAAAAGACUUCUCAGCAUCAGUUUUUGGGUCAACUACCAGUAUCCAAAGCCACAAAACCCCAAGUGCAUCUACAACCCACUUAUUCUCAAACAAGCAGAGGGGCCAUGUGCAGCCAAUCAGGGUCUUGCUUCAAGACAGAAUUAAGGUUGACAACAGGGCAAGUGACUUACUAUAGGUGCCCAUGACAGAAGACGGGCACUUGGGGCUGUGGGACUUUAGUUCUGGAGGGAUCUGUGGAGCAGCUAAACAAAACAAACAAACACAAUUUAGAAACGAACAGCAGCAGCAGAAUAAAGGCCCCCAGCAGUGACUUUACCAGGCCAAGCCUGGGAUAACUGAGCCACAGCUCGGACAUCGAGGGUCCCUCUUAGUCGAAUCCACGGAGAAGGAUGCUAAGCUGAAGGCCAUGUCCAGGGAGCACAUCAUGGCACUUGGCAUAUGCUCUCCCUACUCCGAGGACAUUUCAGGGAGUAAUCCAUCUGAUGCUGAAACACUGGAUCCUCAACCUGCCUCCUGGCCUUCCUGGCACUGAGAGGGUUAACAGGUUUGGGAAGCUAAGGCUGGAUAGACCUCUGGUCCUGAAACACCAGCCACACAACAUCCACUGUGAAGAACAGAUGUUUUGUCUCUGCAGCCCCCUCUAUCCCACUGCUGCCAAGAUAGGGACAGAGCUCCCAGAGUCAGGCUGUAUUAAACACGUUGUAGUAUUGGAAUCUGCCAUCAUUUUCUCCAGUUCUCCAUGGGUGAGAGCACCAAAGGGAGAAUGAAAAGAAGCAGGAAAGUGCUGUUCGUGCUCCCAGCAGAGCCUGAAUGGCCUGUCCCAGACCAGGAAUUGCUGGUGCGGCCGGGGAUUGGGUAGGGUAAGGGCGGCUCUUGAAUAAAACAUUCUUACACGAAAGAGACAAGACAGUUUCUCCAGUGCAACACCUGGGACAGUCUCCAAGCAGCAGGUGCUCCCUUAGCAGGCAGAGCAAAAACACAGAUCCUCGGUACAGGGGACUGUCCCCAAGGGGGUGUCACCUCUCCCCAGGGUCCUCGUGGGGCCCCAAGUACUGCUGCUGGAAUCUGCAGGAAGACCCUGCAUGCGUACAGCAAAGGGCUGCUUUUACUAAUCAGCGGCUUGUUUCAGGUCCAUUACAGCAAAGGCAACUGAUGAAGCACAAGAGGGGCUCUGCAGCCAGACUGCAACAGCGAUGGCCCUUCAGAUGGCAUCCACACCCUUGCUUCUGUUUGUUUCACUUGAAGCACUUGGAACUGUGAUGUCCAGUUGCAGCUUUAAAACUAGUCUUCAUUCCAGGACACGCCCAGCCACUCAGUCUAGUGGCUAGCCAGAGAGCUAUGCCCUAGAAACACGGCCUGCCUGGCACAGGCUCCCCUGGGAUCCUGCUAACUGCCAUAGCUGCAUUCAAAAACCUCAGCUUCGGUGGGCGAUUGCAAACUGGCACCGAUCCAGCAGACCAACUUUCCAUUAAACGCACAAGGAUCUUACUGUCAGCUGCAGCUGCCACAGGGCAGGGCCACACAAACCACCCUGGGAGUUUUAUCACCAUCCUCUCAGCUGCCUUCCUAGCUAUGCUGGGCAAAUGGAAACCCCUACCCACGCCCCCUGAUGUCUGUACCCGAUGCCCUCUCCUUUGCCCUGCUCAUUUGGGUGGAGAUCAGAUGAGUGGCACUUUUACGCUCCCACACCCAGCCAUGGCGUGUCUUUGGCACUACACAGCUAUAAAAUCCUAUCGCAGUUACACAGGCCCUGCGGCAGACAGUCACCACCACCACAACAGCACCAGAACUCAAGGACUCUGGCUCCACGGACUUAUUGUGGGUUCUGGAUCUGAAGUGGAUGUUUAGCAGAUAUUUGUUCUUCUAGCUAUUGAGAAGAUAUUAAACAUUUUCUUUACCUUCUUGCGUGAUGCAGAUGGAGCCACUGCCCAUCCCGACCCUUAGAGCAUCGACCCCUGCAUCGAUCAGAUUCUUUGCCUGAGCAGCCGUCACCACUGAAGCAAACAGACGAAAGUUUUAAAAUGAGAACAUUGUCUCCUUUCACCAUUAGUAGCUAACCAGUUGCCCUAGCUUCCUGCAAAGGUGCUUCCUCCCUGAGGUGGGUUGCAGGAAAAGGGACCUCUCCACUUGCACAGCACCUUCCACUCGGGCAUCUCAAAAUGGCUUCCACAAACAGCACCCGAGUCAGCUUCGCAGCCCCGCAGCGAUCUAGGGCUGGAGAGUGCUCCCUUUUGGAGGCAGGCCCAUGGUGUCGGUGUGCAUGGUAACACAACAGGUCAUGCACAAAGUCAGUUUAAAAUCUCAACAGCAAUCCGGCACCAAAGGGCUGGUUCUCAACCAACCGACAAAUGUGUGCAUGCACCAGUCACCACAGCCAUGGCGUGUGCACACUGAACCUGGCUGACAAUCGGGCCUUGAUGUCCAACUGUUAAACCCUACCAUCUUGGUGUGCAGGGACCAGGGGUUAGCUUUACACUUACACAGCUGCCCCUCAAGGGGGAUGGGAGGAUCAGCCUGAUGUCAGAGCCUGGAUAGGGGUGGGGUUAGCCUAACAUGGUCCCUCCCAACAUGGUUCGCGUCUGGCCGAUUUCCCAGGGCCAUGCUUCUCUACUGCCCUUUUCACUGGCAUUGUACUGGCUGCUGAAUCCACAAAGUUCUGGAUGUUAAAGUGCUUCCCAUCUAUCCCAAUGGUGCAUGGGACUCAGUGUUGCAGCUAGACUAGUAAGGCCAUUAUAAUGCAUUGUACAAUGGCAGAGGAAGCAUGAGACAUGCUUACGGCCAUGCAGGGGACAAAAGGCUGGAGGAGACACUAUGGUGCGUUAGCAACACAUUUGGUAAUGCAGAUAAAAACAAGAGGAAAAGAGUUAAACUCUGCUCAGCCAGAUUCACAUGGAUGUUUCCAUUUAUUUUCCACACAAAGUAGGAGUCCUCCAAGAACCAGACACCUGAAAUUCUAGAAGGCUUUCUAACCAAUGUUACAGAGCCCAGAGAGAAAAGGAUCAAGGCUGGAAACAAGAGAACUGCAGGGGACUGCACACACGGCAUUAACCCUGAGUGAGAAGUUUUUACAUAGAAUGGAAAAGAAGUGUCCCUCAGGUGCUGAGGGGCUGUAGCAUAUUCUAUACAUCUGAGACAUCGGUCAAAAGUCCCACUGUACAGCUGACAGGGAUGCUCAUUUAAAGCAGUUCAACACAUCUUUCACUGCAACUGAAAACAGUCAAAGUCUAGAAGCUAAAAUCCCAUGUAGCAGAUUACCAUUGCCUCCAAUGACCUGCAGGUUAUGGUAUUUCUCCUUGAUAUACUUGAUCAUGUUGAUCUGGAAAAUGGAAUUGCCCUGAGAGGAAUCCUAGAAGAGAAAGAAAAACAAAAAUCAACCAAAAUAGCUAUAAAGGAUUUUAAAUCCAGUCCUAGGAGAGUCACAGAGACUUCAGCACAUUGCAAACAGGUGAUUAAUUCACUUCAGCACUGAAAGACCCCACUGCCCAGGCUCAGAAGGCCCCGAAGACACGAGCCACAAGAGAAAACCACCACAAACUUCCAUCUUACAGGACAUUUCAGCCUAAUGAAUGCAGGUCUCACAAGACAGACAAACACUCCCAGAGAUUAGAACAGCUCACACUGAGGGCUAGAUUCCAGUCCUCUCAAAUCUAAGAGCUGCAUUCUUUAGAGAAUUAUUUGUGUUUUGAGGCCUCAACUUGCGAACCCCAUGACAAGAGGAGGGCUGCCAAUCUCAUCCCGAGUGAGGUCACUAAUAUUUCCCUGAAAGAAAGGGUGUGGGGAGGUCAGUCCAAGCCCUUAGCACUGGAAUGGCAGCUAGCCACCUGUCUAUUCCUCAUCUUCCAAAUGGUCCUGUCCCACCCCCAAAAAAACCGCACAUGUCCACAUUACAGUCUACACAAGUGAGGAAGGAUGGUCCCAUGGUUAGAGCACUGGCCUUGGCUAGGAGACCAGGGUUCAAUUCCUGCUUUGCCACAAAUUGUCACUUAACAUCACUAUACCUGUCUCCCACCCCCAGAACUGGAAUGGCAGCACUGCCUGGCCUCAGAGGCGUCGUGAAGAUAAAAACUUGACGACGACUGUCAGGUGACGGGCCCCCCGAAGUAUCGAAUGCUGAAUUCAAAGAGACUCUUGAGAUGUUCAAGGAAGACUAUUCCCAACUCCCAUGCAGGCAGUUUGGUUUUUGUCACUCAUUUUACUCUGGGUGUGCCUUCACAGCACAGUCCGCUCCAGUUCCGACAAGUUAGCGCUCUGGUUACAGUGCCGGAACCAGCCUGCCUUGAGCGAGGCCACGUCUACCCUACAUGCGCCGAAGCGGUACUGCCGUAACCCUGUUUGCGCAGACACGGAGCUCGGCGACACCUGAAACGCUGCAGCACGUCAGUGUGGACACAGCCAGUGCUGACAGGCGGGGUUCUCUCCUCGGCACGGGGUAAUCCACCUCCCUGAGGAGCAGUAGCUAGGUCGACAGAAGAAUUUUUUCAUCAACCUAGCACUGUCUAUGUUGGGACUCAGGUCACCACCACCACUCAGGGGUGUGGAUUUUUUCAUACCCCUGAGCCACGUAGUUAAACUGACCUACAUGUCUACUGUAGACCAGACCAGACCACAGCCAUGGAAGGGGUUUUUCUGUCACCACAGGAACUCCACCUCCCUGGGCAAUGGCAACAUUCUUCCCUCGAACUAACGGAAGUUAGCAUAGCUACGGCACUCAGGCGUGGGAUUUUUCACACCUCUGAACACCAUAGCUCUGAUAAGCUAGGUUUUAAGGCCAGGCCUGACAGCAACCACACUUCAAAACAACACUGGUGUUACACAGAGAGCUCAUUAGUAGCACAGAGCAAUUGGAUUAGCUAUUGAGGAGAUAUAAAUUGAGCCGUUACAUCCCCACUGCAUUACUAGCUCCAGAGUCAGCAUCCCUGGAGUGCCACCUCCCCAUCCACCUCAUGAGAAAGCGAGCUUGAGCUUAAAGCACUGCUUAAUUCCAGCUAGAGAUUUUUGCAUGUGGACAGGAGUCAAGUUAGGGGUAAAAUGGGUUAUAACUCAAGUUACCUGUGUCGUGAAGACACACCUUAAGAGGACAGGGAAAGCUAGUCACCUUUUUCCCAGGGCAGGAGCAGUCCCUGCUUAUGGAGGCUCCACAUUAAGUGCACUGGCCCCCCUCAUUAGAAUGGGAGGGGGAAGGUGAUUCUGACUAAUCCAGCUAACUAACACGGCCUACUAAACAAGUGUUCUCUGGUAGAACACUGUAUAACCAUGCUCUGUGAAUAUCUCCCAUUUCCUUUAUAGAUGGGCUCUCAGACUAACCUAUCAACAACAAGGGCACGUGCAAACUCCUGUGCCCAAAUGAUCAGACACAAGGGGCUGACAGGACAGACUGCUGAGGAGUACUAUGUUGGUCCCUCUGUGUUAUUUGUUUUAAUUAUCAGAGUUCGGAAUAGGAAUACAGCAACUGAGAGGCUAGACUGUUAAGGGAACACAGUGAUAAAGCUCCAAUAGGAUACAGAGAAAUAAGAUCCAACCCACUAACAGCAAGACCAGCUUAAGGAGAUCUGAAAAAACAGCAGCUGGCAAUAGUGAGCCUAGUUCAGGACAGCUUAUUUAACACUGAAGCACAUUAUUUUAAACUGUCCAUUUUAAACCAAGUUUAACACCAACGAUGUCAUCUGUAUUAAAAAGUUAUUCUUCA